AGUGUAAUUUUUUUUUGAGUAAAACAUUGAAGGGCUAUCUUGAUUUUGAGAUUAUAAAUUGGGCGUGAUGAAUCACGUUAUGGAAAAAUGAAUUUUUAUUUUGAGUUUUUCUAUCCCUUAAAGAAAACUGAUUUUUAGAAAUCGUUUCUUUUUUUAAGAAACAAUACAAGGUGAAUUGAAACAUCUUAGUAGCCUUUAUAGAAAUCAACCGAGAUGUUGUGAGUAAUGGUGAGUGAAAAUAACGUGGAAUUUACUGUUAUUAAUGCUUGAAAUUUUCAUAGAAGGUGGUAAUCCUGUAAAUUACAUUAUUAACUUUAAACGAGUAGGACAAAAUAAGUUGUUUUGUUUGAAGAAUGGGGUCCCACCCUCAAAUUCUAGGUGUAUCUUUAAAAUCGAUAGUGAACAAGUACCGUGAGGGAAAGAUGAAACAGAACUUGCGAGACUGAAAAAUUUUAAAAUUCAAUGUUUAUAACAGUCGGAGCUUUUAUAAAGUUACGGCAUACCUUUUGCAUAAUGGGUCAGUGAGUUUUUUUUUUUGGCAAGCUUAAAACUUUUAAAAUGUAGGCUGUUAAAUUUUUUUUUAAGUCAAAAAGAAAAAACCCGAAACUAAGUGAUCUAACCAUGAACAAGCUGAAAAUCAGAUGGAAACAUCUGUUGGAGGGCUGAACUCGUGUAUGUUGAAGAAUACUGGGAUGAUUUGUGGUUAGGGGUGAAAGGCUAAUCAAACUUAGAGAUAGCUGGUUUUCCGCGAAAUCUAUUUAAGUAGAGCGUCUAAAAAAGGUAAAUUGGGGUAGAGCACUCAAUAAGCUAAGGGGGUUUUCGGAUCUUACUGAACUUAAGGAAACUCCGAAUACAGUUUUAUUUUUUUAGGCAGACGGACGGUGGGCGCUAAGGUUCAUCGUCAAAAGGGAAACAGCCCAGACUGUUCGGUAAGGUCCUUAAAAAAAUUUUAGUUGAAAAGAGGUGAAAAAGUUAAGACAUUUCCAUAGUAGGCUUGGAAGCAGCCAGCUAGUUAAAAAAGCGUAACAGCUUAUGAGUCAAAUUUUUUUGCGCUUAAAAUGUAUGGGAUUCAAAAUUUUUGCCGAACCGACAGACUUUUUAUAGUGGUAGCGGAACGUCUUGUAUGUUAGAAAAAAGAUGCUUUGUGAAAAGUAUUGAAGAUAUCAAGAGUGAGAAUACUGACAUGAGUAGCGAAAACAAUGAAAACAUUGUCGCCGAAAGCCUAAGGUUUACGACGUAAAGAUAAUCUUCGUCGAACAAUAACCGGUCCCUAAGAAAAGGACGAAAGCCCUUUUUUAAUGGGUAGAUUGUGUAAUCAGUCUAUAGAGAAAAGUGACAAAAGAAAACUACUUUUAUGAAGUGUUGAUUGUCUUUGUAGAGGUUUAUUUUUUGCAGGAAAUAGCUUUUCUUUUUUAAAACCGUACUGGAAACCAACACAGGUAGGCUGGUUGAGAAAACCUAGGUGUUUGAGAGAAUUAUGGUAAAGGAACUCGGCAAAAUUACUCUGUAACUUCGGGAGAAGGAGUAACUCUUUUUGGGAAAUCAAAAAGAGUUGGCACAGAAUUGGGGGUAGCGACUGUUUAGUAAAAACACAGGUCUCUGCUAAUUCGUAAGAAGAUGUAUAGGGACUGACACCUGCCCGGUGCUGCAAACGCAAGGGGAGAAGUCCUGGCUUCGAACUUAACGUCCAGUAAACGGCGGCUGUAACUCUGACGGUCCAAAGGUAGCGAAAUUCCUUGUCGGGUAAGUUCCGACCUGCAUGAAUGGUGUAACGACUUCCCCGCUGUCUCUACCAUAAUCUCAGUGAAAUUGAAAUAUCUGUGCAGAUGCAGAUUAUCUACAGCUAGACGGAAAGACCCUGUGCACCUUUACUAUGUUUAUACACUGCACAAAGAAAAUUUUUGUCUAGUUUAGGUGGGAGCGUAAGCAUACUUGGAAAACCACUCGUAAAUUUUCUUUUUGCUCAUUCGUUAUGGAGACAAUGUAUAUGAGGUAGUUUGACUGGGGCGGUCGCCUCCUAAAAAGUAACGGAGGCGUACAAAGGUAGGUUCAUUGGGUUUUUCCCAAGAAGAGUGUAAUGGCAAUAUACCUGCUUGACUGUAAGACGGACACGUCGAACAGAAACGAAAGUUGGUCAUAGUGAUCCGGUGGUUCUGAGUGGAAAGACCAUCGCUCAACGGAUAAAAGGUACGCCGGGGAUAACAGGCUGAUGACUCUUAAGAGUCCCUAUCGACGGAGUCGUUUGGCACCUCGAUGUCGGCUCAUCACAUCCUGGAGCUGAAGGAGGUUCCAAGGGUUCGGCUGUUCGCCGACGAAAGUGGUACGUGAGCUGGGUUUAGAACGUCGUGAGACAGUUCGGUCCCUAUCUACUGUAGACGUAAGAAAAUUGAGAGGAGUAGACCCUAGUACGAGAGGACCGGGAAAAGUGGAUCCAUGGUAGACUGGUUGUUUUAUCAAGAGCAUGGCCGGAAAGCUACAUCCAUUUAUGUUAAUUGCUGAAAGCAUAUAAGCAAGAAUCUAGCCUUAAGAUUAAUUUUCUUCUAAAAAUCGUAGUAGAUGACUACGUUAAUAGGCUUUGGGUGUAAGAAUUGUGAGAUUUUUAGCUGCAAAGUACUAAAAUUUUUUUUAUUUUAAAAAAU
rnacentral:rRNA from 1 species